GGAUUGCCCCAGUAACGGCGAGUGAAGCGGCAAUAGCUCAAAUUUGAAAUCCGGCCCCGCGCGGGGCCCGAGUUGUAAUUUGCAGAGGAUGCUUCGGCGUCGGCCCCGGGCCAAGUCCCCUGGAACGGGGCGUCUUAGAGGGUGAGAGCCCCGUACUCUCCCGGGUCGCCUUCGCCGUGUGAAGCUCCUUCGACGAGUCGAGUUGUUUGGGAAUGCAGCUCUAAGCGGGAGGUAAAUUCCUUCUAAAGCUAAAUACCGGCCAGAGACCGAUAGCGCACAAGUAGAGUGAUCGAAAGAUGAAAAGCACUUUGGAAAGAGAGUCAAAAAGCACGUGAAAUUGUUGAAAGGGAAGCUCUUGCAGCCAGACUUGCCGCGGUCGCGCAGCCGUCCCCCGGGGCGGUGUACCCGUCCGCAGGCAGGCCAGCGUCGGUUCGGGCGGCCGGACAAAGGCCCCGGGAACGUAGCUCCCCUCGGGGAGUGUUACAGCCCGGGGCGUAAUGCGGUCAGCCCGGUCCGAGGCCCGCGCUCUCGCGAGGACGCUGGCGUAAUGGCCGCAAGCGACCCGUCUUGAAACACGGACCAAGGAGUCUAACAUCUGUGCGAGUGUUCGGGCGUAAAACCCGCGCGCGCAAUGAAAGUGAACGGAGGUGGGAACCCCCCGGAGGGGCGCACCAUCGACCGAUCCUGAUGUCCUCGGAUGGAUUUGAGUAAGAGCAUAGCUGUUGGGACCCGAAAGAUGGUGAACUAUACCUGGAUAGGGUGAAGCCAGAGGAAACUCUGGUGGAGGCUCGCAGCGGUUCUGACGUGCAAAUCGAUCGUCAAAUCUUGGUAUAGGGGCGAAAGACUAAUCGAACCAUUACCACUAGGUGGUUGAGAGAUUGGCCCCCCUCCCCCCGGCGGGGGAAAAGUGUGGGGGGCUUGGUAUAUCUAGCGGGUCGGGUCCCCCCGGGACCCCGGCGCGCGACGUACUCGCUGUGCGGGGAAGCCCUUAUCACCCGACGUUACCGCGGCGCGCCCGAGAGGGGCGCGCGUCAGCACCGGGGCGGGGUGUCGCCACCCCCGGGGAUGGUAAUAACACGUCGGGCUUGGUCGAUCCGCAGCAAAGGUCCCCGGUCGCCCGGGGAUCCAGUCCACAGACUAGGCGUGUACGGGCGGGGGGACGGAUGCCCAGGCGUCGUCCCCGCGUCCAAGAUAUAGUCGAGACCUCCGCGAAAGCGGGAGGCAGGUCCAGAAGGCCCCGGGGACAUCGGGGGUCGUUUAGCCCCGUUAAGCCCCGCUUCGGACCGCCGGAGAUCCAGCGUGCUAGUAGCUGGUUCCCGCCGAAGUUUCGUAAGUUGAACACACACCCCCGACGAACCCCCCGGAAUACUCUACUAAUCCCCCCGUGUGUAGCCUCAGGAUAGCAGUGACGUCUUCAGUUUUAUGAGGUAAAGCGAAUGAUUAGAGGCCUUGGGGUUGAAACAACCUUAACCUAUUCUCAAACUUUAAAUAUGUAAGAAGCCCUUGUUGCUUAGCUGAACGUGGGCAGUCGAAUGUACCGUCACUAGUGGGCCAUUUUUGGUAAGCAGAACUGGCGAUGCGGGAUGAACCGAAAGCGAGAUUAAGGUGCCGGAAUGCACGCUUAUCGGAUACCACAAAAGGUGUUAGUUGAUCUUGACAGCAGGACGGUGGCCAUGGAAGUCGGAACCCGCCAAGGAGUGUGUAACAACUCACCUGCCGAAUCAACUAGCCCUGAAAAUGGAUGGCGCUCAAGCGUGCUACCCAAAUCUCGCCGCCGGGGCAGGACCGAGGCCCCGGCGAGUAGGCGGGCGCGGGGGUCGGUGACGAAGC
rnacentral:rRNA from 1 species